UACACGCUGUGACUAGCAUAUCAAUAAGCGGAGGAAAAGAAACUAACAAGGAUUCCCCUAGUAACGGCGAGUGAAGCGGGAAGAGCUCAAAUUUGAAAUCUUAAAGGGUUUCCCUUUACGAAUUGUAGUUUAAAGAAGUGUUUUCUGUUGAGGUUUUGGUAAAAGUUCUUUGGAAUAGGACAUCAUAGAGGGUGAGAAUCCCGUAUUUGACCUUUACUUUCAACUUUGUGAUACACUUUCAAAGAGUCGGAUUGUUUGGGAAUGCAGUCCAAAAUGGGUGGUAAAUUUCAUCUAAAGCUAAAUAUUGGCGAGAGACCGAUAGCGAACAAGUACCGUGAGGGAAAGAUGAAAAGAACUUUGAAAAGAGAGUUAAACAGUACGUGAAAUUGUCAAAAGGGAAGCGUUUGACACCAGUGUUGCUUUUUCUGAAAAUCAAUUAAAGAACUGUUUAUGCUAAGCUGUUUAGACUUUAUCAGCUAUCUGUUUAGUUUUGAGCUUUUCUUUAAUGCACUUUUCAGUUAACAAGUCAACAUCAAUUUCUUUUGCUGUAAAAAAGCUUGAGGAAGGUGGCUUGAGAUUCGUCUUAAGUGUUUAUAGCCUCUUGCCUAUGCAGUCGGAGAGAUUGAGGUCUGCAGCGUAGAUCCUUCGGGGCUAAAUGCAUUUGUGCUAAGUUAUAGCAUUUUAUAGACAACUUGUUGACUAUGAUUUGUCUUGUAGCUUACUCGCUUAUGUUAUUUUACCUACGCUUAGGAUGUUGAAGAUGUAGCACAUCAU
rnacentral:rRNA from 1 species